rnacentral:rRNA from 1 species
UUUCCUACGGGGGGCAGCAGUCGGGAAUAUUGCACAAUGGAGGAAACUCUGAUGCAGUGACGCCGCGUGCAGGAAGAAGGUUUUCGGAUUGUAAACUGCUUUAGACAGGGAAGAAACAAGACAGUACCGGUAGAAUAAGCUCCGGCUAACUACGUGCCAGCAGCCGCGGUAAUACGUAGGGAGCAAGCGUUAUCCGGAUUUAUUGGGUGUAAAGGGUGCGUAGACGGGAAUUUAAGUUAGUUGUGAAAUCCCUCGGCUUAACUGAGGAACUGCAACUAAAACUGAAUUUCUUGAGUGCGGGAGAG